CCGUGGGCAGAAACACGGAUGCCCCACGACGGUGUGAAAUCCUAACUCUCUCCCUCCCUGCUCCACCCACACACACCCGUGGGACUCGUAGGUCACUUUCAACCAUCUCGCCGGCCCGAGCAUCUGGGCCGUGACGUCAUCAACACCCGCCCACCGCGCGCCCGAGGUUGACAAGGUCACGGAGGGCAGACUUGUAAAAGCUGUUCAACUUGGUGCCGUCCACGCUGAGCGCCUCUCCCUCGACGGCAGGGUCUUGUAGGUGAGCAGCAGUGAAGAGACUGUUCAUUCCUCAUCUAUCAGCAGAACCAAAUACAGCGGCUUCCUUUCUGAAACUUGCACUCAUUGUUACCACCAAGAAACUGUUGCGAAAUAUUCCUUUAAAAAAAAAAAAAAGAAAAAGGAUAUGAAGUGACCCUCAAAAUCUUUAUGUCUUCCCACCAUUUGUCCAUCAGCUGCCUGCUUUCAGUUCCCAUGUUUUGGAGUUUUCUUUGUGUCCUUAUUUUCUACAGUGCUAUAGAACAAGUAUUCCACCUUGAGGAGACAAGGAAGGCUGUGGAAUCAGAGGAAUUCUGCAAUCAAGAAACAUUUAAAGAAGAAAAAAAAAGAUACUAUGAAGUCCUAAUGGCCAGCUCCUAGCUGCAAAACAAGAAAGCUCACUUGGU
rnacentral:lncRNA from 1 species